AUUGAACGCUGGCGGCAUGCCUAACACAUGCAAGUCGAACGGCAGCAUGAAUAUGGGUAACCAUAUUUGAUGGCGAGUGGCGGACGGGUGAGUAAUAUGUAGGAAUCUACCUAGAGGAGGGGGAUAACUUGGGGAAACCCAAGCUAAUACCACAUAAGCCCUACGGGGGAAAGCAGGGGACCGCAAGGCCUCGCGCCUUAUGAUGAGCCUACAUCGGAUUCGCUAGUUGGUGGGGUAAAGGCCUACCAAAGCCACGAGCCGUAGCUGGUCUGAGAGGAUGCCCAGCCACACUGGGACUGAGACACGGCCCAGACUCCUACGGGAGGCAGCAGUGGGGAAUAUUGGACAAUGGGCGAAAGCCUGAUCCAGCAAUGCCGCGUGUGUGAAGAAGGCCUUAGGGUUGUAAAGCACUUUCAGUGGGGAGGAAGGGGUUGAUGCUAAUAUCAUCAGUCAUUGACGUUACCCACAGAAGAAGCACCGGCUAACUCUGUGCCAGCAGCCGCCGUAA
rnacentral:rRNA from 1 species